rnacentral:lncRNA from 1 species
AAUAAUGCAAUUUUCAAUUUUGUGAUUUCUAACAAUAUAAGACAGUCGAAAUUUAUAUUUUAAGACUGAGCCUGUGAAGCUUUUGCUUUACUGGAACAAUUCCUGAUACUUCGCUGUUGGUAACAUAGUUCUGUGUAACAGAUGCUUACAAUGAUUUCAGUAUAUGCACAAAUUUCCUAAUGCAUAUAUUUAUCCUUCACAAGAACAAAUUUAUCAAAUCCAGAAGAAAGUAUGACGUAUUAACACCACUUUUGUCAUCCGUACUCAUACUUGGGUAAACCUACUGCCGUAUUUGUUUGUUAUGACGCCAUGCUUUGUUUGCUAGCUUUAUUUUAUUUAAAAUACGGCUUAGAUAAUAUAUACGUAAUAUUUGUACCAAAAAAAUGCCUUCGUAGUUAUUCCACAUACUCUUUUUCGAAGCGUUUAGGUCCGUUAAUUUGAGGGAAAUUAACAGUGAAAGCAAUUUCGAAAAUUUGAUUGAAAAUGGGGAGUGUGUAAAAGUGUAUAAAUUCCAGAAUAAUACAGUGAUAACGAUAUGUAUUAAGCAAGUAAUGAAUUUUUGAAUAAUACGAACAUCAUAAAUCUUGGUUUCAAG